rnacentral:lncRNA from 1 species
GUCAAGGUGGAAAUUCUGAGAAUAAGGAAAUAAGAGAGUGUAUGUAAGUUAAGCUUUCAUCUCUGACCCUCCAUUCUAAUAGGCAAGAAGGUGUCAGAAGCAGGACAAGUGGGGAUAUGAGACCAUGAUUCAAGAAGAGAAAAUUCUUCAGAAAAGAGAAGUUGCAAAGUAGGAGGAGGAAUAGAAUCCUAAGGCAAUAAAGGCUUUUGAAGGUUCAAUUACAAAGGUUUCAUCUUCUCAACUUACCUGGAAACAGGGUAUGGGGUUGUUGAAAUUCUUGCUUCCGUCAGAGACAGAAAGCAGCGGUAAUUUCCCUCAAUGAUCAAAUUAUAGCUGUAAGGUCUUCCCCCUGAAUCCCUGCUCCUCCUUCUAUUCCUCUAAUGUUAUAUCUACUUGACUUUUUGUAAUCUUCCUCCUACCUCACCUGCCACAUAUAAAGGUCUGAAGAGACAUGGAGAAGAAGCAGUUAUUGAAAUUUGGGACAUACAUAGUAGAUUCCUUAUAGAAGUUGUGACCCAAGUUAGAAAGAUCCAGCCAAGUGAAAAUGACGUCAAAGAAGGGAGCCAGUGGGGAGCACUUGAUGGGAUGAGCACUGGGUGUUAUGCUAUAUGUUGGCAAAUCGAACUCCAAUUAAAAAAUAUACAAAAAAAAAAUAAAGUGGGUUUCUUGGAAAAAAAUAAUAAUUUGAACAUAUUUUAAAAAAGGGAUCCAGUGGAAUAAUUACUUGGCCCUCCUUCUAUCAGCUUGUUGAUCUUUCAC